AGACCGGUUUGCAGCAGCAGAGCAGCCCGCAGUCGGACCUAACGCUCUAGUCGACAAAACAAAACACUUGUGGGAAAGAAAACUUGCGUUCUGUCAGAGGAAGACCAGCAUUUGAUGACCCUUGCUUGAGGACACUCCCUUGAGGCUCUACAAAGAGCACCUGCAGGCAGUUUUGAAAUCUUUUAACAACCCCACCCCCAACCCCAACUCGAGUGAAUUUGUGGUGGUUUAGUAUCACCCUGGAAUGAAGCAUAAAAAUUCCUUUAUAACAAAAAAUGCAUUGUUCUUAAAGUUUUAUUCACGUAAAGCUGACAAAUCAAAUAGAUGUGUAUUGUUAGGGACGGUAUCUCCAGUGUUCUUCCAGGUGUGUGUGGCCGCUACUAGCGAUUUAAGGCAUCACUAACUUAGGACUUGGGUCCAAGCAUUCUGGACUUAUUAAAGCACAGAGUAAGAACA